rnacentral:lncRNA from 1 species
AGGAGAGGCAUGAUUGACUGCUUCACGAUUUUUCUGGAAUGGCUACCAAAUCUGGAAUCUUAGUAUAGUAAUUACAUCACUGACAUGUCAGUACUAAUGGAAUACAGCUACAGGUUCACAGUCAUUCGCAGGAAUGAUGUCAAUGUCAUGACUGGCUCAUGAUGUGUCUCAGUCUUCCCUGCAGUUUCAGUCACUCCUCCUUUAACACCUUUUAAAAGUAAUGAGAAAAUGAAAGAUGCAUGUUGGGGUACCUAGGUGCUGGAAUGGAUAAAAUGCCAGGCCUGGAUUCAGGAAGAUUCCUCUUCUGGACUUCAAGUCUGGCCUCAGACAUUUACUAGCUGCAGGACCCUAGACAAGUCACUUAAUCUAACAAUCCUCCAUUUCGAUGUGAACUGCAAUGACCUCCAGGAAUUGAUGCAGAGCAAAAGUAGCAGAUCCAGGAGAACAUUAUACACAGAGAUGGAUACACUGUGGUACAAUCGAUUGUAAUAGAUUUCUCUACUAGUAGCAAUGCAAUUAUCCAGGACAAUUCUGAGGGACUUAUGAGAAAGAACACUAUCCACAUGCAGAGGAAGAACUGUGAGAGGAGAAAUACAGAAGAAAAUAUAUGAUUCCUCAUAUGGUUUAAUGGGGAUAUGAUUGAGGAUGUAGACUCUAAAUGAUCACACUAUUGUAAAUAGUAAUAAUAUGGAAAUGGGUUUUGAACAAUGACACAUGUAUAACCCAAUGGGAUUGCUUGUUGGCUCCGGGAUGGGGAGGGAGAGGGGAGGAAAGAACAUGACUCAUGUAAUCAUGUAAUCAUGGAAAAAUAUUCUGAAUGAAUGAAUGAAUUAAAUAAAUAAAUAUAUUUUAAAGCA